rnacentral:lncRNA from 1 species
ACAUGGGCCCAUGUAAAUAAUAAAUCUGGGUAGAUAGUGCCAACUGGUGUUCUGCUGCCAAGCCAGCUGCCAUACAACGUACAACUGAGUUGGUUUUCUUUAGGGGGGUUGAAAUCUGGCAGAAUCAUAACAUCACAGAAUUCUGGGAGGUUUUCUUAAAAUUGCUCGUUUAUUUUAUUUUCCUUUUUAAUGUUUCAUCUGAGAGACUCCUGAUCAUUUUGGUUUGGUGCAGAUUUUGGACUUUGGAGCUUUUUACUUUUUCUUGCGAUUUGAGAUUAGAUCUAGGGUUUAUGAAAUUUGUGAGUGUGAGUGUUUUUAGGGUUUAGGGUUUUCACCUUUACUAGGGUUUUGUUGAUUUGGGCAGCACGUACUCCAGUCUCUGCAGUGGCAGCAGAGGCAGUAACUAGUCAUCAUUUUUGUCCUCAUAUAGGGUUACUUUGUUUUUUUCUUUGGUGAAAUCAUAUAGCCUAGGGUUUACUUCUUUUCUUUUGGUCCAUCCAUAAAGGGCUUACUUCAAUUUGCAGAUUUGAGUUCUGUAAUGUUUUUCUAGCUUGUGUAAUGAGACCUCUUUUUAAAAAAGGGAGAAAUACCACUAGAUUAAUAGUUAGUUGGUUACUGAAUUUUAUUUCUCUUUGAUUUCUUACCAAUGAAUUCA